CCUACGGGAGGCAGCAGUGGGGGAUAUUGCACAAUGGGGGAAACCCUGAUGCAGCGACGCCGCGUGGGCGAAGAAGUAUUUCGGUAUGUAAAGCCCUAUCAGCAGGGAAGAAGAAAUGACGGUACCUGAGUAAGAAGCACCGGCUAAAUACGUGCCAGCAGCCGCGGUAAUACGUAUGGUGCAAGCGUUAUCCGGAUUUACUGGGUGUGAAGGGAGCGCAGGCGGCACGGCAAGCCUGAUGUGAAAGCCCGCGGCCCAACCGCGGGACUGCAGUGGGAACUACCGGGCUGGAGUGCCGGAGAGGUAGGCGGAAUUCGUAGUGUAGCGGUGAAAUGCGUAGAUAUUAGGAGGAACACCAGUGGCGAAGGCAGCCUACUGGACGGUGACUGACGCUGAGGCUCGAAAGCGUGGGGAGCAAACAGGAUUAGAUACCCCGGUAGUC
rnacentral:rRNA from 1 species